GUAAAUUCUGAGAUUGGAAAGAGUAGGUAAGCUCUGAAGCCAAAGCGAGUCGGGGGUGGUGAAAGCCUGAUGCAGAUAGACUUAUUGAAUGGUUCCAUGAGAAGCAGUGGGAAAUCUUUAGAGAGUAUCACUAGCCGUAGGUCUCACGUUACAGAGACAGGGUAUCGAAAUAAGAAAUUAUUUCCGUACUUGGAAGAGUGAGAUGAUUAAAAUCAUCUAAAAUAGGUGGCAACACGGAGUAGAAACAUUUCGUCCUAUAG
rfam:Clostridium aceticum strain DSM 1496, complete genome.